ACCAUUGCUGACAAAAAAGAUGACGACAAGCGACUACGGCCCU
rnacentral:sRNA from 1 species